CCACCCCCUUAUUUUAGAAAUCAAAUUUUAGAAUCUCUCUCUCUAAUCAAAUUUCAGAAAAUAUCUCUACUUUCAUUCCGUCACGGUUCUUAAACUCCAUCCUGCACCGCUCCAACACCGCGAGUUUCAGCCCUUUUAUCCACCCAUGCUAAUCCCAGGAAAAAAAAGUGGUGCUCUCCUUCUCUCUAUCGCUCUAUCAACAAACUCAGAUCUGAUGUUACAAAAGUGUCAUAUGUGGUUACAAAAAAAUACUACCCACGGCCCCUUUUCCAUUUCUUUGGCUAGAUUCAUGAACUUCCUCAACCCCCAUCUUUAAAGAGGCCAAAAGACCUGCCAAAACUCUUACCAAUUUCCACUCCCAUCGUUUUUUGCACUCACUUAACAAUUCUAGUGGCAGGAUUCUACCACAUCAAAAGAUGGAACUGAUAUGAUACGAUUAUGCCUUCAACUGUUGCAUGGGGAGCAAGCUAGCAGCAUAGAUGAAGAAGUGGAGAAGUGAAUUUUUGUUGAUGUUUAUCUUAUUUGUGUUUGAGACUUUGAGUUGUUAAAAUUGUAAGGUUGGAUAGAAUUUGAGUAAUAUUUUAAACCUUUUUAUUUUAGUUGAGUUUGCAUUGAGUCCUUGAAUUCAGCAUUUUAACUUUGUCAAUUGUCAUUGUUCCUUAUUUUAGCAUGUAAACAUUGUUGUCAACUGUAAAAGACAAAAGGCAUGAAUUACCUCAAUUAA